CAGACAGAGAGAAGCAGACAAUUGCAACUGUGUACCAGAAUAGGUUAAAAACUGUUAAUUAUAACAUAAAGGCUAAAGGAAAGAAAGCAUCAAAAAUACCUAUAACCACUUCAAUUUGGUAACAAACUCACAAUACAAAAAAGGAUAAUAUGUGACAACAAAAACAUAGCAGAAGAGGAAAAGGACAGAACCUGUAUAGGCAAAUGGAGAUAAGACACUAUCAGCAGAAAAACGACUAUCUCAUCUAUGAGAUCUUUUAUACAAACCUCAUGGUAACAACAAAACAAAAAUUCAGAACAGAGUCAUGAAACACAAAAAGAGAGGGAACCAAGGGCAGGGGAGGGGAUGAGGAGCCUCCGCGGGGGUCCAGCUUACAGGUCAACCAGCUGUCACCUCCUCUGGGUGACUCCCUCCAAAAGUGAAAUGUUCUUAUCACAAAAAAAGUUAAUUGAUUAAUAAUACUAAAGUAGGCAGGAAGAAACUUUUGGAAGUGAUGGAUAAGUGCAUGGCAUAGACUGUGGUGAUGAUCUCAUGAAUGUACAGUUAUCUCCAAACUCAUAAGUUGUACACACUAAAUGUGUUUAGAUUUUGUGUGUCAAUUAUAUCUCAACAAAGUGGUUUAACAAGAAAGACAGAAACAUAUCCAAGGUCAUGGAGUUUUUUAUGACAGAGCCUAAAAUUCAAACCCAGAUUGCCUGAGUUCAAAGCGGCAAUUUAAAUUAUCUGUACCUAAAUUCUGAAUUUAGAACAACUGCAUAUCAGGAGAUGAUUUGAAUAAAAAUCCUAAUUUAAAGUAAUAAAUAUCCCCAGGCAAACCUGCCUGGGACUCAGACUAUCACGGGCUCUGGAAAAGGGAAGCAGAAUGUUCCAGAAGCAAAAAAAGAGAAAAAGAGGAUACAUACAGAACCAGGGCAGAGACGUUUUCUUUGUCACACUUGAGGAGGGGUUUCUUCAUUCUCAUGCAGGACCCUGGUGUUAACUGCAGAACCACAUUACAUUAUCUGUGGUUGUAUCUACAACUCUAUGCUGGGUUAACCGGACAGUCAACGUAGGUCCAGUCAGUCUCAGUAAAGCUUUUAUGAUGUCAUCAUAAAGCCACAAUUUAAAAAACAAAAACCGUUCAGGUAUUGUCAAAGAAAUUAUUAACAAGCAAUAUUAGAUACCGUUAAGGAAGCAACGUACCUCACUGAGAGUCCUGUCAAAACCCUGCUGCACGAGACUGCAGGCCGGCCGAACCUCCUCCUUGUUCCCAUUGGGUGGCAGCUUGUCACAGAAACACAUCCAGAAAAUCACCCAUGCUGUUUAACUUCAGGACACAUCAUUUCCCUACCCUCACAAAACACCAGGUUUUGUGUCCCAACUCUGCUUUGGGCCGUGUUCCCAAUCAGCUGUGGCCGGAGGGAUGAGGGUGCAUGCGAUGAAACACGAAUGCUGCCCCUCAGGCCUGGGAUGAGGCAGCAUCCCUCAGCACGGGGUGUUGGUAGACAGGCACUCCAAGGGACAGCUAGGAAACGGGGAUUCAUAUUGCUGCCUGGCUAGAAGCCCCAUGAAGAAGUUAUUCUUCCCGUCAAAGACAGUGAAAUAAAAGAAGUGGAGGGCCAGCCCACUGGCGCAGAGGUUAAGUUUGCACAUUCCGCUUCUCGGCGGGCCAGGGUUCGCCAGUUCGGAUCCCAGAUGUGGACAUGGCACAGCUUGGCGAAAGCCACGCUGUAGUAGGCGUCCCACAUAUAAAGUAGAGGAAGAUGGGCAUGGAUGUUAGCUCAGGGCCAGGCUUCCUCAGCAAAAAGAGGAGGAUUGGCGGCAGUUAGCUCAAGGCUAAUCUUCCUAAAGAAAAAAAAAAAAGAAGUGGAGAAGAAGACAAAUACCCAAAUACAAAGCACAGGAUACUCAAUGAUGAGCAUGUCAGAGAGAAAUGAAAGAGUCAUCCCACAGUAAUGAACACAUGAGCUCAGGUGUAUGGAGAGUAUUCUUGAAGGAGUCAAUUAAAAAGAUUUGGAAGUGGAAGUGAAACGUGAUUAACUGUGCAUAUUGGUUAUUGAUCAUUUCCCUCACAUUUAUGAGACCACGCAAGAAGAAGAGAAAUUGGAUAGAACUUAACGCAAAAUGACCAAAAACCAUUCUAUUCAUAAGAGAGAGAAGGUGAGUUACUUGAGCCAGGGUGAAGAUUGUAACCUGGAAAGGCCUUUUCCAGAAAGAACGGAAGAGUCCUGGAGAAGCAUGGUUUUCAGUAAGGUCUUAUACCUUUUUAGAACAAAGAACACGCAUUAAACAAGCCCAGGAUACAUAUUCAUCAAAGAUUCAGAGAGAUAUUCAGCUGCAAAUUAGCGGGUCAACAUGACUCUGACAUCAGAGAGAGGGACUAAUAUGAGUAUUGCCAAUAGGGUGCAGGAGGGGAAGUGUGCAUUCUCCUCUUAAGGGAGCACAUUCUUCAGUGGUUAAAGCAGAGGUACGAAGUGCGUUUGAUGGGACGUAAGUCAGGCUGCUUCAGUUCGAGCCGAAUCUGUUUUUGAACCUGAAUAGUUACCCCAUAUUCUUCAAUGGGUGAAAAUCACCUGUCAAACUGAAACAGAAAUUAUUUUCUUAGCCACUUGUGGUAAAAGUUUCCUAAAUAAAAAGGAAUAGACCCCAUUCUAUUCAUUGUCAGUAUGGAUAUUGUUAUGUUUAAGUUAACUGUGUACUAGAAGGUUUAUAGGUCUCAUUUCAUCAUGUGGUUUGAAUCACCUGAUUUAAUCACACUGCUUCCUGCAUAAUCUCCCAAAUGGAAGUGCUAGACACAGAUAUGGAUGUAGAUAGAUAUAGAUAUAGAUGCAGGUAUAGAUACAGAUAUAGAUAUAGAUACAGGUACAGAUACAGAGAUAGAUAUAGAGAUAGAUAUAGACAUAGGUAAAGAUAUAGAUAUAAAUAUAGGUAUAGAUACAGAGAUAGGUAUAGAUAUAGAUAUAGGUAUAGGUAUAGAUAUGGGUACAGGUAUAGAUACAGAGAUAGGUAUAGAUAUAGGUAUAGGUAUAGAUAUGGGUACAGGUAUAGAUAUAGGUAUAGGUAUAGAUAUAGGUAUAGAUACAGAUACAGAGAUAGAGAUAGAUAUAGAUAUAGGUAUAAGUAUAGAUAAAGAUACAGAUAUAGACAUAGAUAUAGAUGUCUGACUUACCUCCUGUGGGCAAAAUUCUAGAAAAUUCUAGAGCCUAAACAGGUGAACCUAGGGAAGCAGAGCACCUUGUGCACUACUGACCUUACAGGGCUUUCAGUUUCACGGGAACAGAUACUAUUAAGCGCCAUCACCUAACAGAAGACUAAAGGAGAGGAACGGGUGUCUACAACACUUUAGCCACACUCACAGAUGUCACAACAACCCUUCCUCUAUCCCUUAUUAUCCACCCCCAAACACACACAAAUUCUUUUAAAAAAAUACAUACACAAGUAUAUUCUUGGACUCAGAUCGUUGAGCAACCCUAGAUUAUUUUUCUCCAUCUAAUGCUAUACCCAUGUACUCUCCUUUAUAAUCCCCCAAAGAACGUAUCUAAAUUAAACUGUUCCAGCAUUAAAAAUUCUUCAUGGAAGUCUUAAUCUAUUUCCCCCUUAUUCCAGCCCUUUCCUAAGCUCAUGGACAACCAGAAACAAAGAACAGGUGUUCAGUAAAUGAUAAUCUUGGAAAGCUCAAUUAAGGAUGAAUACCCUUAGAUGGGUUCCGUACAGCUUGCACACUUACUGCAAGUGAGACGCCAACCCAAAUUUAUACUGAAAAGAGAACAAAAUAAUUU
ensembl:lncRNA